rnacentral:rRNA from 1 species
GACGGGGGGGGCACGUGUUCUUCGGAAUGACUGGGCGUAAAGGGCACGUAGGCGGUGAAUCGGGUUGAAAGUGAAAGUCGCCAAAAACUGGCGGAAUGCUCUCGAAACCAAUUCACUUGGGUGAGACAGAGGAGAGUGGAAUUUCGUGUUGUAGGGGUGAAAUCCGCAAAUCUACGAAGGAAGGCCAAAAGCGAAGGCAGCUCUCUGGGUCCCUACCGACGCUGGGGUGCGAAAGCAUAGGGAGCGAACAGG